rnacentral:rRNA from 1 species
UACAGAGGUCUCAAGCGUUGUUCGGAUUCAUUGGGCGUAAAGGGUGCGUAGGUGGCGGGGUAAGUUGGAUGUGAAAUCUCGGAGCUCAACUCCGAAACUGCAUUCAAUACUGCCUUGCUAGAGUACUGGAGAGGAGAUUGGAAUUUACGGUGUAGCAGUGAAAUGCGUAGAUAUCGUAAGGAAGACCAGUGGCGAAGGCGGAUCUCUGGACAGUUACUGACACUGAGGCACGAAGGCCAGGGAGCAAACGGG